rnacentral:rRNA from 1 species
ACGAACGCUGGCGGCGUGGAUAAGACAUGCAAGUCGAACGAGAGAAUUGCUAGCUUGCUAAUAAUUCUCUAGUGGCGCACGGGUGAGUAACACGUGAGUAACCUGCCCCCGAGAGCGGGAUAGCCCUGGGAAACUGGGAUUAAUACCGCAUAGUAUCGAAAGAUUAAAGCAGCAAUGCGCUUGGGGAUGGGCUCGCGGCCUAUUAGUUAGUUGGUGAGGUAACGGCUCACCAAGGCGAUGACGGGUAGCCGGUCUGAGAGGAUGUCCGGCCACACUGGAACUGAGACACGGUCCAGACACCUACGGGUGGCAGCAGUCGAGAAUCAUUCACAAUGGGGGAAACCCUGAUGGUGUGACGCCGCGUGGGGGAAUGAAGGUCUUCGGAUUGUAAACCCCUGUCAUGUGGGAGCAAAUUAAAAAGAUAGUACCACAAGAGGAAGAGACGGCUAACUCUGUGCCAGCAGCCGCGGUAAUACAGAGGUCUCAAGCGUUGUUCGGAAUCACUGGGCGUAAAGCGUGCGUAGGCUGUUUCGUAAGUCGUGUGUGAAAGGCGCGGGCUCAACCCGCGGACGGCACAUGAUACUGCGAGACUAGAGUAAUGGAGGGGGAACCGGAAUUCUCGGUGUAGCAGUGAAAUGCGUAGAUAUCGAGAGGAACACUCGUGGCGAAGGCGGGUUCCUGGACAUUAACUGACGCUGAGGCACGAAGGCCAGGGGAGCGAAAGGGAUUAGAUACCCCUGUAGUCCUGGCAGUAAACGGUGCACGCUUGGUGUGCGGGGAAUCGACCCCCUGCGUGCCGGAGCUAACGCGUUAAGCGUGCCGCCUGGGGAGUACGGUCGCAAGAUUAAAACUCAAAGAAAUUGACGGGGACCCGCACAAGCGGUGGAGUAUGUGGCUUAAUUCGAUGCAACGCGAAGAACCUUACCUGGGCUUGACAUGUAAUGAACAACAUGUGAAAGCAUGCGACUCUUCGGAGGCGUUACACAGGUGCUGCAUGGCCGUCGUCAGCUCGUGUCGUGAGAUGUUUGGUUAAGUCCAGCAACGAGCGCAACCCAUGUUGCCAGUUACCAGCACGUGAAGGUGGGGACUCUGGCGAGACUGCCCAGAUCAACUGGGAGGAAGGUGGGGACGACGUCAGGUCAGUAUGGCCCUUAUGCCCAGGGCUGCACACGUACUACAAUGCCCAGUACAGAGGGGGCCGAAGCCGCGAGGCGGAGGAAAUCCUGAAAACUGGGCCCAGUUCGGACUGUAGGCUGCAACCCGCCUACACGAAGCCGGAAUCGCUAGUAAUGGCGCAUCAGCUACGGCGCCGUGAAUACGUUCCCGGGUCUUGUACACACCGCCCGUCACAUCAUGGAAGCCGGUCGCACCCGAAGUAUCUGAAGCCAACCGCAAGGAGGCAGGGUCCUAAGGUGAGACUGGUAACUGGGAUG